rnacentral:rRNA from 1 species
AAUAGUGGCCAUACCUGCUCAUCGAGGGCUGAUCUCAUCAGAUCUCAGAAGUAAAGCAAGGCCAGGCCUGGUUAGUACUGAGAUGGGACAAGGCUGAGAAUACCAGGUGCCACAGUGG